UCCUCUGCUGAGCCCGCGCUCUGUGCACUGACGGGUUUGACCUGUGAGGCGCUGAUGCUAGCACAGUUAGCCUGGUUAGCCGCAGCAGGCCUCGGCCACGUGUUGCUUAGCGCGGGUUGAGCUCAGCUCGGCUCGGCCUCGUCUCAUCGCAGUGUGAUGAAACAAAUGUUGGUAGGGACAUCUGACUACUGUGAGGAAACGCCAACUUUCUGACCGCGUGGGACACUGAGACACCAAGAGGCCGUUUUCACUGCAGAGCUCCUGCGCUGCCAGACUUUAGGGUGUGGACAUGUUUUCAGUCAGAAGAUGGCUGCAUCUAUUUCAAUCAGUUUCGUGCUUAAUCUGUUUUCCCAUCUUUUUGCAGACUCGUCAGCGACAUCGACUCGAAAUGAAGGUGAACAGCACGUGGCUCAAACGGGUGUUUCCAGGCGUUGGAUCAAAUGCAUCCCUGGUUGGAGUAUGAUGCAGAGGUGUGAAGAAGCUGGGGAUGAUGAGGUGUGAUCACACUGACUGAAUUCACUCUUCGUUCACGACAUUCAAUAAGAUGGUCUCGUGUUUGUGCAUCUGGUCUGAACGCUCUAGUAUGAGCUACUGAAACCUCUCUGGCUACAGAAUGCUAUGACAUGUGACUUCUCCC